UACGUAGGGUGCAAGCGUUAAUCGGAAUUACUGGGCGUAAAGCGUGCGCAGGCGGCUAUGCAAGACAGAUGUGAAAUCCCCGGGCUCAACCUGGGAACUGCAUUUGUGACUGCAUAGCUAGAGUACGGUAGAGGGGGAUGGAAUUCCGCGUGUAGCAGUGAAAUGCGUAGAUAUGCGGAGGAACACCGAUGGCGAAGGCAAUCCCCUGGACCUGUACUGACGCUCAUGCACGAAAGCGUGGGGGAGCAAACAGGAUUA
rnacentral:rRNA from 1 species